GGACAGUCCAUUUGUCUGGGGGAGAGCCACUUGUGCGGUUUAUCAGGUAUCAUACUCCAGUCCAAUAGGUGGCGAUGAUGCACCUAUACAUUGUUUGCUAACCGCCAUUCAAAGAACCAACGAAGAAAACAAACACUUAGUGUGUGAUUUCGAAUUCUGGUGGAGGCAAAUCUCAGAAAAUUACGACCACAAACUUUCUCAACAAUUGUGCCCAGACUUUUUCAGAAUGUACUCGACUUUUAUCUUCAGAUGACCAGGAUUCCAUACAGACUGUUCUAACCAGGUUAGAGAUAAUGGCGACGAGCGUUCGCUGGAGCAGAGGGCGACUGCUUCAAUGGUGGAUGAGAUGCUUUUGCUCAUUAGCGAGUUAGUUCGGGAAGCCAACGAUCAACAACAACAACCUGUUGCUUCUGGUUUCACUGUACCUCGAAUGGGAGGACAGACUGGAGGAAGGCCGGUUUACCAAAUCGCCCAAGAGCAGUUGCAGAUGUUGUUGUCCUUUAACUUCUCUGCUAAACAGAUUGCGGAGAUCGUCGGUGUCUCAAGAAGAACAGUGAACCAACGGUUAAGACAGCACAAUUUCAUCUUUUACAGACCAGAUGAUGCACUUGAUCUGAAGGUGCUGCUAUGCGGAGUAUGUCCCACAGGCUUCGGAGGAGAACACAUUGAGUGGCAGGGUCAAAUUCGCUGUGGCAUCUUGAUCGCAACCACAAGCUCUUAAAGCGGAGGAUUGUAAUCCAUGGAGGAAUCGAUGGGUUCAGCCGACUGGUGGUUUUCCUGAAGGCUUCUAACAACAACAGAAGUGACAUUGUAAUGGACCUGUUUUCGGAAGCAGUCGCCCAGUUUGGUGUCCCAUCCAGAGUCAGAUCUGACUAUGGAGGGGAAAACAACGCCAUUUGUCUCCUCAUGGAUGUCUUCUGAGGAUCAACCCGAGGGAGCACUCAUAAUCAACGCAUUGAAAGACUGUGGGGCGAUGUCUGGAGAGGCGUGACAAAAAAAACGCAGUCCUACGUAGUGUGGUCAGGUCGGCUGAGUAUAUCAUCGACAGGAAGCUCCCAGCCCUACAGGACACCUACCAAACACGAUGCCUCAGGAAAGCUGGCAAGAUUCUUAAAGACUGCUACCACCCAUCUUUCAGUCUCUACCCCGCUGCCUUCUGGACAGCUGGCAGGAUUCUAAAAGACUGCUACCACCCAUCUUUCAGUAUCUACCCCGCUGCCUUCUGGACAGCUGGCAGGAUUCUAAAAGACUGCUACCACCCAUCUUUCAGUCUCUACCCCGCUGCCCUCUGGACAACAGUUUCUAUCCAAGGGCUGGCCGGCUUCUGAAUGACUAUUUACAUGGACAGUUCUCACUAGCCACUUUACAUUGAUGCAUUUCUCACUAGUCACUUUACACACUGUCACUUUCAGCUACUGGUUACACUAUCAGCAAUAUUGCACUAACUGUACCCCACUUGUCUUAGGUUAGUAUAGGUGUAAGGUUAGUAUAGGUCAUUAUCUGUAUUAGAGGUCUAAUAUAGUGUAUACUAUUUUGUAUAUUUAGGAGGUUUAUAAUUUAUCAUAUUUUUUUAGCUUAUCAUAAAUGUAAUCUAAGUACUUAUUAUGUUAUGCCAGGUUGCUUUGCAUUGUCUUGUCCCAAAAAUGUCAGUGCCCAGUCUGACUUUGUGGUGUUCUGUGUACCUGACAAUUAGACUUGAAACGGAUGUCUAGCACUCCUUGUUUACAUAUCUAUAUAGAAAAUGAAGGAAUCAUUAAUCCCAACAACGAAAGGCAUCUUUGGGCUCUUCACUUUGUUUACCUGCCUCCUAUAAAACGUGACCUGAGGACUGCCAGAUACACGUCACCAUAUCAAAUUUUUGUGCAAGGUUGUCUUACACAACAGUUGCAACAUCACAAUGGUAUCCAAGGUAUAUUUGGAGCAGCCAGUUCCAGGGGGUGGCUGACCGAGGGGCGGCUGCACUUGCCUUUGACUGGCUACAAAGAGUUGUGGUUCCCCUAAACCAAUUUCAACCAAGUGACGAACAGUUGGAACAUCUCAGGCAACACACAAAUUGUUUGGUAGAGAUAGACAGUUUGGGAACUGAUCAGGUCCUCAAUGUCCUUUCUUAAAUACAGUUCACAUACACACAAUUUAACUGUUGUAAUCACAUUGUCAAUAGGCCUUGGAAUGAGUAAGCAGUCUCAAUCACGUCAAUGUAAUAAAGAUGAGCA